rnacentral:rRNA from 1 species
GACGAACGCUGGCGGCGUGCUUAACACAUGCAAGUCGAACGGAAAGGCCCUGCUUUUGUGGGGUGCUCGAGUGGCGAACGGGUGAGUAACACGUGAGUAACCUGCCCUUGACUUUGGGAUAACUUCAGGAAACUGGGGCUAAUACCGGAUAGGAGCUCCUGCUGCAUGGUGGGGGUUGGAAAGUUUCGGCGGUUGGGGAUGGACUCGCGGCUUAUCAGCUUGUUGGUGGGGUAGUGGCUUACCAAGGCUUUGACGGGUAGCCGGCCUGAGAGGGUGACCGGCCACAUUGGGACUGAGAUACGGCCCAGACUCCUACGGGAGGCAGCAGUGGGGAAUAUUGCACAAUGGGCGGAAGCCUUAUGCAGCAACGCCGCGUGCGGGAUGACGGCUUGCGGGUUGUAAACCGCUUUCGCCUGUGACGAAGCGUGAGUGACGGUAAUGGGUAAAGAAGCACCGGCUAACUACGUG